GACGAACGCUGGCGGCGUGCUUAACACAUGCAAGUCGAACGGCAAGGCCCUGCUUUUGUGGGGUGCUCGAGUGGCGAACGGGUGAGUAGCACGUGAGUAACCUGCCCUUGACUUUGGGAUAACUUCAGGAAACUGGGGCUAAUACCGGAUAGGAGCUCCUGCUGCAUGGUGGGGGUUGGAACGUUUCGGCGGUUGGGGAUGGACUCGCGGCUUAUCAGCUUGUUGGUGGGGUAGUGGCUUACCAAGGCUUUGACGGGUAGCCGGCCUGAGAGGGUGACCGGCCACCUUGGGCCUGAGAUACGGCCCAGACUCCUACGGUAGGCAGCAGUGGGGAAUAUUGCACAAUGGGCGGAAGCCUGAUGCAGCAACGCUGCGGGCGGGAUGACGGCCUUCGGGUUGUAAACCGCUUUCGCCUGUGACGAAGCGUGAGUGACGGUAAUGGGUAAAGAAGCACCGGCUAACUACGUG
rnacentral:rRNA from 1 species